AACGAACGCUAGCGGCGUGCUUAACACAUGCAAGUCGAACGAGAGGCGGACGGGUGAGUAAUAUAUGGGAACCUGCGCAAUGGAGGGGGAUAAGUACUGGAAACGGUAGCUAAUACCGCAUACCAUCAGAGGGGCCGAUAGGGGAUUAGGUAGUGGGUGGGGUAAUGGCUCACCAAGGCGACGAUCCUUAGCUGGUCUGAGAGGAUGACCAGCCACACUGGAACUGAGACACGGCCCAGACUCCUACGGGAGGCAGCAGUGGGGAAUAUUGCACAAUGGGCGAAAGCCUGAUCCAGCCAUGCCGCGUGUGUGAAGAAGGCCUUCGGGUUGUAAAGCACUUUCGGCGGGGAGGCGGUAUCCGCAGAAGAAGCACCGGCUAACUCCGUGCCAGCAGCCGCGGUAAUAC
rnacentral:rRNA from 1 species